rnacentral:rRNA from 1 species
GACGAACGCUGGCGGCGUGCUUAACACAUGCAAGUCGUACGGUAAGGCCCUUUCGGGGGUCCACGAGUGGCGAACGGGUGAGUAACACGUGAGUAACCUGCCCACAACUUUGGGAUAACGCUAGGAAACUGGUGCUAAUACUGGAUAUGUGCUCCUGCUGCAUGGUGGGGGUUGGAAAGCUCCGGCGGUGGUGGAUGGACUCGCGGCCUAUCAGCUUGUUGGUGGGGUAGUGGCGUACCAAGGCGGCGACGGGUAGCCGGCCUGAGAGGGUGACCGGCCACAUUGGGACUGAGAUACGGCCCAGGCUCCUACGGGAGGCAGCAGUGGGGAAUAUUGCACAAUGGGCGCAAGCCUGAUGCAGCAGCGCCGCGUGCGGGAUGACGGCCUUCGGGUUGUAAACCGCUUUCAGCAGGGACGAAGCUUUUUGUGACGGUACCUGCAGAAGAAGCACCGGCUAACUACGUG